rnacentral:lncRNA from 15 species
UAUGCUCAGGACACAAGUACAUAUGUUUUGAUGACAAUAGGCAGUUGUAUUGGUUUAUUUAUGUAUUAUUGUGUUGAGGGCACCUUUGUGAUUGGCUGUGCGCCCUGGGGGAGGCCGGAGUGGGUGGAGAGCUUUAAGAGCCUCUGCCUGCUUCUCGUCGUGUCUCUCAGCAAAGCGACGCUCCGCAGCAGCAGCAGGAGGAAGAAGAGGAGGGACGAGCGCAUCACAAAGUUUGAGGCUGCAGCGGACACGCAGACGGGACACCCUAAUCAGGUGGUGAGUUAAAAGGAGCUGCAGUGGUUUCUCCAGUGUCACCACAUCUGGUAACAACUCUCUGUCAUGUCUGCUGAAGACUGCUGGAACAGCCCCAUAAACAGAUUCUGCAUUCAAUAGACUGAAGAUUUGACUGGAUGAAGCCAAUUUUUAUUUAUGACAGUUUAACAAACACAAACUCACCUUCUCAGAACUUAUUUUCUACAUCUUGUCAAGAGACGCAGUUUUUGACAAGAUCAUCCCAACUUAUCUGAACACUUGACAGCUCUGACUCACUUAUCAAGCUCCUGUAAGCAAGAGGGAAAACGUUGCAUUUAGCAGGCAACGUCAGCAAAGGCACUGUUUCAUAUGCAAGGCCAUUGAUCCACUGACCUCCUGAUCUAAUUAGCCGCACACAAACACCGACACAUGUAAGCAAACACCUGGGUCUGGCUCACACACUUAAACAGCUACGGGUGUCAGAAGUCCAUCUGCACAUUAUUACCUCCCCUAGAGAGCACCAACCUUGACUGUGAUCAGACACGUGUUUGUGUGUUUGCAUUAGCAGAGGGAAGUGUCACGUUCUGUCUGCUCUGAUUGAGAGUGAGAAUGAGAGCUGAUGUGGCAGAGCGGCCCUGAUAAAUACUCUAAAAACAUUACCGCCUGAGGCUCGGCUGCUCAUUAGGGACGCCAUUGCGCUUCAUUACACUGUUUAGUCAGUUCCUCAAAAUGUGUGACACUAAAAAGUAGUCCAUAUUAAUUGAAGUGUGUGUGUGUGUGUGCAUAUGCAUGUGUGUGUGUCACAUUGUCAGAGCAGAUUAGGGCCAGGCCUUUCUGGGUCUUGUCAUUCUGACUGACCUAGAUUUGACUAAACAAACUGGCCAGCUGAGGAAGAUGUGUGUGCAAGUCCUGCUGUGAUCAGAAUACACACAUCUUAGACAAAUACGUCACACUCUCUGACCUGGAGAUUGCUGUGCAGUCUUCCGACUUGUACUUCCUACUACCUGCUAACUAGCUUUUUAUUUAGGCCACAUGCUCUUAACCCAACAAACAGGGUCUGCAAUAUAAAACUUGUAAACCACCUUUUAUUAAGCCUCUUAAUCAAUCUCCAGUUUGACCU